rnacentral:rRNA from 1 species
GAACGCUGGCGGAGGCCUACACAUGCAAGUCGAGCGCGCCUUCGGGUGAGCGGCGGACGGGUUAGUAACGCGUGGGAACGUGCCCUUCUCUACGGAAUAGCCUCUGGAAACGGAGAGUAAUACCGUAUACGCCCUUUGGGGGAAAGAUUUAUCGGAGAAGGAUCGGCCCGCGUUAGAUUAGGUAGUUGGUGGGGUAACGGCCUACCAAGCCUACGAUCUAUAGCUGGUUUUAGAGGAUGAUCAGCAACACUGGGACUGAGACACGGCCCAGACUCCUACGGGAGGCAGCAGUGGGGAAUCUUAGACAAUGGGGGCAACCCUGAUCUAGCCAUGCCGCGUGAGUGAUGAAGGCCUUAGGGUCGUAAAGCUCUUUCGCCUGUGAUGAUAAUGACAGUAGCAGGUAAAGAAACCCCGGCUAACUCCGUGCCAGCAGCCGCGGUAAUACGGAGGGGGUUAGCGUUGUUCGGAAUUACUGGGCGUAAAGCGCGCGUAGGCGGAUUAGAAAGUUGGGGGUGAAAUCCCGGGGCUCAACCCCGGAACUGCCUCCAAAACUGCU